CCCAGUGUGGCAUAGUGGUCUAAGCACUGGACUACAACUCUGGAAACCAGGGUUAGAACCCCCGCUCUGCCA